UACGGAGGGGGCGAGCGUUAUUCGGAAUUAUUGGGCGUAAAGGGCGCGUAGGCGGCUGUACAAGUCAAAGGUGAAAUCCCUCGGCUCAACUGAGGAACUGCCUUUGAAACUGUACGGCUUGAGGCCGGGAGGGGGUAGCGGAAUUCCCAGUGUAGCGGUGAAAUGCGUAGAUACUGGGAGGAACACCAGUGGCGAAGGCGGCACUCUGGGCCGUGACUGACGCUGAGGAGCGAAAGCGUGGGUAGCAAACAGG
rnacentral:rRNA from 1 species